UACGUAGGGUGCAGGCGUUAAUCGGAAUUACUGGGCGUAAAGCGCACGUAGGCGGAUCGAUCAGUCAGGGGUGAAAUCCCAGGGCUCAACCCUGGAACUGCCUUUGAUACUGUCGAUCUGGAGUAUGGAAGAGGUGAGUGGAAUUCCGAGUGUAGAGGUGAAAUUCGUAGAUAUUCGGAGGAACACCAGUGGCGAAGGCGGCUCACUGGUCCAUUACUGACACUGAGGUGCGAAAGCGUGGGGAGCAAACAGG
rnacentral:rRNA from 1 species